UUCAAAUACUCUUUGUCCUGCCCCUGCUUGGCGAAGUUUACCGAAAUUAUCUACCUACCCCGCUGGAGUGGGAGUCGGGAGAGAGCUGGAACCGCGACUCUGCUGCUCACCUUUGUGAGAUUCCCACAUCUUCUAGUUGGACAAUAUUGGAGAAGACACCACAUUUUGACUGAGUUCCAGUGAUAUGACAGCCUUUCAAUUCUCUAAUCUCAUAGAAGUUAGAAAAAAAAAAGUAGAUAAUCAAAAUCCACGGAAAAUACAGAAGAUUCCAUUAACUCUGAGAGUGAUUAUCAGGUAUCCUUAGGACCUCAAGAAAGCUGUUUUCUCCUGGGCCUGUGGAGAGCUCAAGUGCCAGCAACCUACCACAAAGUUGGUGGCGGUAGUAGGGGAGUGGGGGGAGGGGGCGGUGAAGUGCUGAAGGGCUUCUCAGUCUUCUUUAAUUAGAGUGGGAAGAAAAGAGCACCUCCUCAUUUUAGAGUACAAGGUGUGAACUCACUCUCAGCUGCCAAAUGAGCUUCACCUUGGGCUGUUCUGCAUGCUUUCUCCUAGUGCUUUAAGCCACCCUGAGAUGUACAGACCAAUACUGGCUGUCACAAAAAUACACUUGAGUACAUAGACCAUUGACACUAUAAAGCAAAUGAACAAUGAAGUCUACAUAACAGCCAACUAACAACAUGAUGACAGGAUCACAUCUGCACAUAUCAAUAUUAACCUUGAAUGUAAAUGAGCUAAAUGCCUCAUUUAAUAGGCAGAGAGUGGCAAGUCGGACAAAGCAGCAAGACUCAACUGUAUGUCUUCAAGAGACCCAUCUCAUGUGCAGGGACACCAAUAGCCUCAAAGUAAGGGGAUGGAGAAAGAUCUAUCCAGCAAAUGGAAAACAAAAAACAGCACUCUGUAUCCAACAAAAACAGAAUAUACAUUCUUCUCAGCUGCACAUGGUGGUACAUACUCUUAAAACUGACCACAAUUGCUUUCUUGGCCAGAAGGCAAUUCUCAACAAAUUCAAGAAACCUGAAAUACCAGCCGGGUGUGGUGGCUCACACCUGUAAUCCCAACACUUUAGAAGGCUGAGGUGGGCAAAUCACUUGAGGUCAAGAGUUCGAGACCAGCCUGGCCAACAUGGUGAAAACCCAUUUCUGUUGAAAAAUAUAAAACUUAGCCAAGCAUGGUGGCAUGUGCCUGUAAUCCCAGCUACUCAGGAGGCUGAGUCACGAGAAUUACUUGAACCUGGGAGGAGGAGGUUGCAAUGAGCUGAGAUCAUGCCAUUGCACUCCAGCCUGGUUGACAGAGUAAGACUCAUCUCAAAAAACAAAAACAAAACCCGAAAUACCAACCACAUUCCUGGGUCACAGUGCCAUAAAAAUAAAUACCAAGAAGAUCUCUCAAAACCAUAUAAUUAAGUGGAAAUUAAUCUACUUCUGAAUGACUUUUGGGUAAACAAAGAGAAAUUAAGGGAGAAAUCAAGUAAUUGUUUACAACUAA